UUGGAGGUAGUGACAAUAAAUCACAAUGCGGAACAAUGUUUUGCAAUUGGAUUGAGAACAACGUACAAACCUUAUCGAUAAACAAUUGGAGGGCAAGUCUGGUGCCAGCAGCCGCGGUAAUUCCAGCUCCAAUAGCGUAUAUUAACGUUGUUGCAGUUAAAAAGCUCGUAGUUGAAAUGAAGGGUAGUUGUGUAAUGAAUACAUUCGUGUAUUUUGUUAUUCUACUACCCUCCUUCUAAAUUCGAUAUAUGAGUAUUAAUUUACUUGUAUAUGGUUUUAGACUUUUACUGUGAGAAAAUUAGAGUGUUCAAAGCAGGCAUUUGCUUGAAUAUAUUAGCAUGGAAUAAUCAUGUAUGAUUUUCAUGAUGUAUUUGAUUGGUUUGGUUCAUGAGAAUAAGAUUAAAAGGGACAGUUGGGGGUAUUCAUAUUCAAUAGUCAGAGGUGAAAUUCUCGGAUUUAUGGAAGAUGAACAAGUGCGAAAGCAA
rnacentral:rRNA from 1 species